rnacentral:rRNA from 1 species
AUGGAGCCCGGAGCUGUCUCGACAAGCAGGGCGGUGGCCUUCUCCUGGGAGCAGGAGCCGGGGGUGUCCAAGGAGAGCACGAAGAAGGUGGAGGCACGGACGCACCAGCUGCGCGUGCCGCCUCCGCCGGGAGGUCCCGGAGCACCGUCCCUGUCGCCGCCGGUGAAGGCGGUGAGGAGCAGGUCCAGCAGGCGGGGCGUCCGGCCGGAGGAGGACCCGUUCCUCGCGGCCUACGUCGCCUGCACGGCCAGCGGCAGGAAGACCGGCCGGGGGCACACCGAGGCCCAGAAGAUGCUCGGGUGGGCCGGGCUUAGGUUUGCUCUUGGGCUUGGCCUCUCUUGCAAGACCUCUUGUGGUGUUGCGGAGCACAGCGUCGUCAGCCUGGCUAAAAAACCCUGA